CGUGUAGGCGGUGCGGUAAGCUGGGCGUGAAAUCCCCGAGCUUAACUCGGGUGGGCCGUUCAAGACUGCCGUGCUAGGGUGCGGGAGAGGGAAGUGGAAUUUCCGGUGUAGCGGUGAAAUGCGUAGAUAUCGGGAGGAACACCUGCGGCGAAGGCGGCUUCCUGGACCGUAACCGACGCUGAGGCGCGAAAGCUAGGGGAGCAAACAGGAUUAGAUACCCUGGUAGUCCUAGCCCUAAACGAUGAGCACUGGGUGUGGCCCCUCACGGGGCCGUGCCGAAGCUAACGCAUUAAGUGCUCCGCCUGGGGAGUACGGUCGCAAGGCUGAA
rnacentral:rRNA from 1 species